rnacentral:rRNA from 1 species
AUUGAACGCUGGCGGCAGGCCUAACACAUGCAAGUCGAGCGGAUGACGGGAGCUUGCUCCUUGAUUCAGCGGCGGACGGGUGAGUAAUGCCUAGGAAUCUGCCUGGUAGUGGGGGACAACGUUUCGAAAGGAACGCUAAUACCGCAUACGUCCUACGGGAGAAAGCAGGGGACCUUCGGGCCUUGCGCUAUCAGAUGAGCCUAGGUCGGAUUAGCUAGUUGGUGGGGUAAUGGCUCACCAAGGCGACGAUCCGUAACUGGUCUGAGAGGAUGAUCGGGCACACUGGAACUGAGACACGGUCCAGAUUCCUACGGGAGGCAGCAGUGGGGAAUAUUGGACAAUGGGCGAAAGCCUGAUCCAGCCAUGCCGCGUGUGUGAAGAAGGUCUUCGGAUUGUAAAGCACUUUAAGUUGGGAGGAAGGGCAGUAAGUUAAUACCUUGCUGUUUUGACGUUACCGGCAGAAUAAGCACCGGCUAACUCUGUGCCAGCAGCCGCGGUAA